CAACAUAGAACAUAAUUUAUAAGUUCAGAUUUAUAAAAAUCAAACAUAGAAAUAGAAUUACAAUUUAACAUAGAACAUAUAAAUAACCAAAAUAAUUUUAUGCAUAUUAUCAACCAAAACAUAAUUAUAAAUGUCACGCCCCCGAUCCGAGAUUGUGAAUCGAGGGUCAUGGCAACCACCGCAUACUCAUAGAAAACUCUUCCUAUAAGCAUGCAAGGCAUCUUAUCAUGC
rnacentral:lncRNA from 1 species